UUUGUUUAUUUAGGUGCGGCAGAAGGCUUGACAGCUCGAGCAGUGCCGGCGGCCUGCUAGCAAUUAUUGCCCCGCAGCGAUUCUACUUCUGUUUGGAUGUUGCAACUUGUAAUAAUUUUCGAUUGCCAUCCAUUUAUUUUGUGUGUGAUUUUGAGAGAUAUUGACUCUCCAGUACACCUAUUUGCUUGUGAGGGGCACAUGGUUUGAGGCUACAUUCCAUGUUUUUUCGAAGAAGAGAAGAGUCUCUUGUGACUAUGGCCAACUAGCACGGAAGUACGGGAGGCACGUAAUUCCCCACUGAGGCUAUCCCACCCAGGCCAGUACGAGUGCCACCAACCCUAUCGACUGCUCCGAGUGAGGCUAGUACCAGCGCGGUGGACCGCAACGAACGGUGAAGUGGACACCGGCAGUUUCCUGCAAGUCCAGGACUAACGAACGUGGGCUGAGGUGGGCUCGUUUUAAAACGAACGUUUUCCGUAAACGGAACUGCAUGAUUUUCUGAGUCUGGCUGAACGAACUCUACAAAGAACAAUUUUUAGGGAUUAAUAGUUUUGGAUUAUUACUUGUAAUUCCUUAAUCUCAAAAACCCUGACGGGUUUAAUUAAGUAGAAGCGUUUUUGUACGAACGUUGUAGUCUUGUAGACAGCGGAUUGUGAAAGUUUUGUUUUGAGGUUGGAUUUUAUCCGCUGAUUUAUUAUUUAAGAAUCUUUCCCGAAUUUUUGUUCAUUGUUUUCGCCUAUCGAUUUGUGUAAUAUGUCAGUGCGCACUGGAAGACCUGUUUAGCCUUUGACCGUGACCUUUACUUGGAUUUAUUAAAUUUUUUGUAGUCCAAGUCAGA